rnacentral:rRNA from 1 species
AGAGAUGGCUCCCACGUCCAAGGAUGGCAGCAGGCGCGAAAAUUGUCCACUCUUUUGAGAGGAGACAGUUAUGAAACGUGAGUAGAAGGGUCGAGUGUAAAAACCUUGACGUGAAGCAAUUGGAGGGCAAGUUUUGGUGCCAGCAGCCGCGGUAAUUCCAACUCCAAGAGUGUCUAUGGUGGAUGCUGCAGUUAAAGGGUCCGUAGUCGUAGAUGCAAUUAAAAGGUGGUGUUAAAAGCCAUUGAGUUUGUUGAGAGUAGCGGAACGGAUAGGGAGCAUGGUAUAGGUGGGCAAAGAAUGAAAUCUCAAGACCCCACCUGGACCAACGGAGGCGAAAGCGAUGCUCUUAGACGUAUCUGGGGAUCAAGGACGAAGGCUAGAGUAUCGAAAGUGAUUAGACACCGCUGUAGUUCUAGCAGUAAACUAUGCCGACAAUGCUGGGUGUUGCGAGAGCGAUGCUUGGUGUGGGAGAAAUCUUAGUUUUCGGGCUCUGGGGAUAGUACGCUCGCAAGGGUGAAACUUAAAGCGAAAUUGACGGAAGGACACUACCAGGAGUGGAUUGUGCUGCUUAAUUUAACUCAACGCGGGAAAACUUACCAGGGUCAAGUCUAUCGUAGAUUGGAGACAUGAGGUAGACAAGAGUGGUGCAUGGCCGUUGGAAAUUGAUGGGGCGACUUUUAGCUUAAGUGCUGGAACCAGUGAGAUCUUCUAGACAGGUGUUAUUUAGGCACAGGAGGGAGAAGGCAAUAACAGGUCCGUGAUGCCCUUAGAUAUCCUGGGCAGCAAGCGCAAUACAAUAUCUCUUGAGAAGACAAAGCAAUUUGAGAUGAGUAGGAUUAGCUUUUGUAAAUAAGCUAUGAAUGAGGAAUUCCUAGUAACAGUGUCUCAUCAAGGCAUUGUGAAUGUGUCCCUGUUCUUUGUAC